ACGACGUCAACCAAAAAUGUCUAAUAUUAUCACAAUUUAAACAACCUCAUACAAUUAAACAAGACAUUAAAAUGAUUUUAGAAUUCUCAAUUAAAAAUAUUAAAACCUUACACCAAUCCGAACUAGAACAAACCAAAUUGUGCUGGUUCAAUAACCAACCUCAAACUGGUUUUAAAAGGGCAAAUUCGCAGAAGGGAAGAAACAACAUUACCAAUUAUACAGUUUUAAAAGAUAGAAUGAUUCAGACUACUAACAUGUUCAAUAGUAGCCAAACCCCUUAACAUGUUCAAUUAAAGCUCAUCAUGAGUACACAUCCAACAAUCCCUCGAGAAAGCAAACCCCAAUAGUUAUGAUCAACAGUAGCUAACUAUUAACAGAUGAACAAGCUAGUACGAAUCACAUGCUUGAGCUUGAACUUCUAUUACAGUGGUCUCAUGACGCAUAUAUGUCUGAAUAACCAUUUCGACAACUUUGUAACCUAUAUGUUCAAAACUUCAAUUCAUUUGAAUUCCACACCUCAAACUCAAACCCCCUCAGAAUCAAUCCAACGAGCAAACAUGGAUUCACUUUUUCAGACUUUAGCAACAUGAGGAAGGGCUACACUAACAUGCAUAAUAUAGGAUUUACAUACAUAAUUAUACAGAAAUGGAAGAAAUAGACUUGAGAUUCAACUUGUAUCCAAAGUACUUCAUAUUCAAAGUGCAGAUUCACCUUUCACAUGUUGUUAUGGUUCUAAGAGAUACCUGGAGAUUGAAAGGAAACAAAAGAAAUAAUGAAUCAGUGGUUGAGAAGCAACAGAACAGUAGCAGAAAUCAGUUCCAGCAAAACCAGCUCAAACCCAGAAAAUGAUGUGCAACAAUCAGCAAAAAUUGACCAGAACUUCAACCAAACUCUUAAACCACCCAAAUAAAACCAUUUCAUCCCCAGAUAGAUCUGAUAUCAUUUCAGGAAUUCGAGUCUUAAUAAAUCACAAAAAACUCAAUGAAACAGUAAUUUUCAGUGAAAUUCUUAGCCGUCUUUGUUUUCUCAUUUUUUUUAACUCUUCUCUCUAUGCCUUGAAAGGCAAGGAAACAUGCCUUUAUAGGAAAGGAAGUAGGGCAGCCUAGAAAAGUUCAGCUUUGCAAUUAGGCCCUUUUCCAAUUUUUAUUUUUGCCUAGAUAGCCUUAGUUAAACAUCAAAAAAUCAACUUAAACCCCCCACCCAGUUUCCUAGAAGCUUUUCAAGCAAUUACCAAAAGAUUCCCUAUGCUAAUUAUUCAGAUUACCCCCCCAUACCCUUAUUUUUACUUUAGCCUACCAGCCCAAAAUGGGUCCGGUUGGACCCGAAGGCUCAAAACAAGUUAGUUCUGGCAAGACGUGGGCUGGAUCCUUUCUUAGGCCCAGGUCAAACCCUGCCAGUUAUGAGAAAUAAGAAAACAAGAGAAACAAUUUGGACUCCUAAACAAAAAUGUGAACCAAAACUCAAUACGACCCAAAAACUAAAACAAACGAAAUUUAAACCAACACUAAUUUACCAGUUAAUGCAGAAUUAAACUAAAUUAUCACAUCACUUUAAUAAAGUUAAAUCAAAAGCUAAAUUGAGACCGUGAAAUAAGAAUUCAUUAAGCCAUUUAACAAAAGGGAAACAAACAAAACACAAUUAGCAACUAAGCCUGGAACAGAACAACUAAAAGAGAAUAGAUUGACGGGGUUAUGGCUUGUCCAGAAGUUUGGUCGAUUUUCGACUGAAUUAACCUAGGAGAAUAAGAAAAGAGAGAGAAAGAAGGCAAAAGGAAGGAAUAAACUUACCGACUCGGCUCGAACUCGACUCACUUUGAUUCAAUCCAUAAAUAGAGUCAAUCGCCUGUUCUUUGCCAAGAACAAGCGACCAACAUCAUUUUGAGAUCAAAUCGACUUUGAACAUUGAGGAAAUAUUGGAAGAAAAUCCUUGCAUGCAUAACUCCGAUUGGGCUUCUAAAGCUUGAACCCUAAUUUGAGAUUCGACGAGUUCUGGCCUCAUUCGAAUGGUACAAGGUAGGGGUUUGGACGGAGGGGAGUGAGGGGGUCAUGGGGUGUUAUUUAGAUGGUGGUUGGAGGAGGUGCCGCCGGGUUUAUGGUGGUGGAGAAAGGGUGGCGGCAGGUUAGGGUUCUUAGGGGUCUCUGAAUUGGGUGUAGGAG
rnacentral:lncRNA from 1 species